rnacentral:rRNA from 1 species
GACGAACGCUGGCGGCGUGCCUAACACAUGCAAGUCGAGCGAUGAAAUCCCUUUGGGGAUGGAUUAGCGGCGGACGGGUGAGUAACACGUGGGUAACCUGCCUCAAAGAGGGGGAUAGCCUCCCGAAAGGAAGAUUAAUACCGCAUAACAUUAGUUUUUCGCAUGAAGAACUAAUUAAAGGAGCAAUCCGCUUUGAGAUGGACCCGCGGCGCAUUAGCUAGUUGGUGAGGUAAAGGCUCACCAAGGCGACGAUGCGUAGCCGACCUGAGAGGGUGAUCGGCCACAUUGGAACUGAGACACGGUCCAGACUCCUACGGGAGGCAGCAGUGGGGAAUAUUGCACAAUGGGCGAAAGCCUGAUGCAGCAACGCCGCGUGAGUGAUGAAGGCCUUCGGGUUGUAAAGCUCUGUCUUUUGGGACGAUAAUGACGGUACCAAAGGAGGAAGCCACGGCUAACUACGUGCCAGCCGCCGCCGUAAUAC